rnacentral:rRNA from 1 species
GACGAACGCUGGCGGCGUGCUUAACACAUGCAAGUCGAACGGAAAGGCCCUGCUUUUGUGGGGUGCUCGAGUGGCGAACGGGUGAGUAACACGUGAGUAACCUGCCCUUGACUUUGGGAUAACUUCAGGAAACUGGGGCUAAUACCGGAUAGGAGCUCCUGCUGCAUGGUGGGGGUUGGAAAGUUUCGGCGGUUGGGGAUGGACUCGCGGCUUAUCAGCUUGUUGGUGGGGUAGUGGCUUACCAAGGCUUUGACGGGUAGCCGGCCUGAGAGGGUGACCGGCCACAUUGGGACUGAGAUACGGCGCAGACUGCUACGGGAGGCAGCAGUGGGGAAUAUUGCACAAUGGGCGGAAGCCUGAUGCAGCAACGCCGCGUGCGGGAUGACGGCCUGCGGGUUGUAAACCGCUUUCGCCUGUGACGAAGCGUGAGUGACGGUAAUGGGUAAAGAAGCACCGGCUAACUACGUG